ACACUGAUGGUGAAACGGUAUCAUGCUUGCCUUCCAUAUUCGUGGAGGGGACCGUGUGCUAGCAAGCGGCGUGGGUUCGACUCCCGCUCAGUGUA